GGCGAAGACCCGGCAGUUUCAGAGGUUGACCCUUCACCGAAUCCAUCUACAACUGUGGUGCAUAACGUGAAAAAAGAACCAGAAUCCAACGAUGUCUUCAGAAUGUUCCAGAAAUGCAGGAUCGAUUCCCAAAUGGUGAUCACGUGCCAGCAGCUGAAAGCCAUCUUCGUGAAGAAGUGGCUCCUGUUCCAGCGUAACAUGUUCCUUACCCUCUCCCAGUCGCUGCUGCCGUCGCUGCUCAUUAUCAUCGGACUGCUCGGAGAUUUUAGCCGCGAUGACUACGAUCCUGAUCAGCUGCAAUCGAUGACCAUCAGCCCCAAACGUUAUUCCGAUUUGAUCAUCCCAAUACGUUUUGACGCACAACUUACUACUGGUCUAAUCGACGCCUUCAAAGCACAGUCACCGAGUUCAGGCUUCCAAAUUGUA